rnacentral:rRNA from 1 species
CCCUUAGAUGUUCUGGGCCGCACGCGUGCUACACUGAGUGGAUCAGCGGGUCAGGUUGCGCGAAAGCGUUUCCUAAUCUUUAAAUCCGCUCGUGAUGGGGAUUGACGGUUGCAAUUUUCUGUCAUGAACGAGGAAUACCUUGUAAGCGCGGGUCAUCAUCCCGCGCUGAAUACGUCCCUGCCCUUUGUACACACCGCCCGUCGCUCCUACCGAUCGAGUGGUCCGGUGAGGCUUUGGGAUCUGAGCGGAAAGAGCGUUUCGCUGUUUCUGCUCGGAAAACUCAGUCGAACCUUAUCAUUUAGAGGAAGGAGAAGUCGUAAC